AGAAAGAACGCUGGCGGCAUGCUUAACACAUGCAAGUCGAACGAAUAAUAUCUAGCUUGCUAGAUAUUAUUAGUGGCAGACGGGUGAGUAACACGUAGGAAUUUACCUUAUAGUACGGGACAACAGUUGGAAACGACUGCUAAUACCGUAUACGCUCCAUGGAGGAAAGAUUUAUCGCUAUAAGAUAAGCCUGCGCUAGAUUAGGUAGUUGGUAGGGUAAUGGCCUACCAAGCCGAUGAUCUAUAGCUGGUUUGAGAGGAUGAUCAGCCACACUGGGACUGAGAUACGGCCCAGACUCCUCGGGAGGCAGC
rnacentral:rRNA from 1 species